GACGAAGGUGGCGAGCGUUGUUCGGAAUCACUGGGCAUAAAGCGCACGUAGGCGGCGACGUAAGUUGGGUGUGAAAUCCCUCGGCCCAACCGAGGAACUGCGCCCAGUACUGCGUUGCUUGAGGAUCCAAGGGGUGCAUGGAAUUCCCGGUGGAGCGGUGAAAUGCGUUGAUAUCGGGAGGAACACCUAUGGCGAAGGCAGCUCUCUGGGACGGUACUGACGCUGAGACGCGAAAGCGUGGGGAGCGAACAGG
rnacentral:rRNA from 1 species